GAUGAACGCUAGCUACAGGCUUAACACAUGCAAGUCGAGGGGAAACGAUAUUGGAAGCUUGCUUCCGAUAGGCGUCGACCGGCGCACGGGUGAGUAACGCGUAUCCAACCUGCCCAUCACUUGGGAAUAACCUUGCGAAAGUAAGACUAAUGCCCAAUGACAUUUAUAGAAGGCAUCUGAAAUGAAUUAAAGAUUUAUCGGUGAUGGAUGGGGAUGCGUCUGAUUAGCUUGUUGGCGGGGUAACGGCCCACCAAGGCGACGAUCAGUAGGGGUUCUGAGAGGAAGGUCCCCCACAUUGGUACUGAGACACGGACCAGACUCCUACGGGAGGCAGCAGUGAGGAAUAUUGGUCAAUGGGCGCAGGCCUGAACCAGCCAAGUAGCGUGCAGGACGACGGCCCUAUGGGUUGUAAACUGCUUUUAUGCGGGGAUAAAGUGGGCCACGCGUGGCCUUUUGCAGGUACCGCAUGAAUAAGGACCGGCUAAUUCCGUGCCAGCAG
rnacentral:rRNA from 1 species